GUAAAGGUGUCUAUCAAAUUUAAAGUGAUGUUGUUUAAUAGUAAGAAAUGCUACUAAAUGAUUAGUUAUGGUCUGAAAAAAGAGUAAAUGACAUCAAGGAGUAUUUAAGUAGGAAAAAAGCAGGUUUAUUUUUUGUGGAGCUUACAGCUGGCUCUGUUCUUGUUUUGUACAAAAUGGCCUUUUUAAUAUCCUGCUGUGACUUUGGAACUGCUCAGUAAUUCAUGAAUACAUUAGGUUGAUAUGGCUAGUGGGAUGUUUACAUUUGAGUAUAGUUGUGUAUCUUAAUUGGAGCUGUCAGGGAAGACAAGAAGGGAGGGAAAGGAACAGUUAAGAUAAGCCGCAUCUCCACAAAUAAUUGUGAGCUCUAUCCCAUCAGCUCAGGAAGAAGGUUGUGUAAAGGAACAUACAACCAAGACUGGGGGAGUCUCAGUUGUGUCCAGUCUAAAGAGCUGGAUGGACCCACAGACACCAGGAGGCAUUUGUGAAAGAACUGGAUUUCUUAGGUUACCUUACCUAAAAUCCUUUCUCCUCAAGACUUACAUCCUGGAAUACUUAAGACUGCAGCUGGCCCUGUAGCCGUGAGUGCUGCUCCAGAAGACAAAGCUCCUCGGCACAACACAAAGCAAAUACAGACUGUCUUAGAAACACUCCCUUCUAGGUAGGUAUUCAAAACCUCUGGGUAUAUUUUGGACCUUUUGCACCCUAAGUAUUAAAUCAGCUAUAGAAAUGUUCCACCUAGAGAAAAAAAAAGAAAUGCUACCUAAAUAGCUAAGGAAAAAGGAGGAAAGAAGUGAUUAUUUAAAAAAAAAAAAAAAAAAAAAAAAACCUCCCCAGGCAUGCUCACUGCUUUGUGUUAUGCAUACAUGCACUUACACAGUGAGUGUUUUUCUUAGAUUGUCCAGCCAUUGAUGCAGGGUACAAUUCCACCAGCAGACGUGCAAAUAAUAUAUCAGAAUUACUACCUAAAUGUGUGCAAACAGAGCAUUCCUUAUGGCCUAUCAAGAGAAAAAUAUGCUUAGGGUACAGCUAUUACAGCAGAAUAUUAAUGACAAAUGUAACCCUGAGCAGGAACUUGGAGUGUCUUAUUAAAACAUACUCAGUUUCCAUAUUAACAAUGCAAAGGCAAAAGCUGGUGUAUCUCUUAUUCAAUAUGAAAGUAAUUAUCUAUAUUUUACAUGUGCUAAAAUGUUUCCUAGUCGCCAACACGUAAUUAACCCAAAGUAAUUUUAUUUGUUCAUUUACACACUGCAAGCAGAUGUCUAUUUAAAUAAGCAGCAAAUUUAGUUUUUGUCACUUCGGGUUUUGAUUAUAAAGCUGUUUUAUUCCCCGAGGGAAAAAUAAGUUGAUUUCCAAGGCUGGAUUUGAUUAGUGCUUGAUCAGAGGAUCUCCAGGUAGGGGCUGUGUCCUGUGGUGGUUUGACUUCCCACUUCUUUCUACCCGGAUAUGAAGGUGGUGGACUCUAGACUUUCAAACUCGAUCUAAAGGAAAGAGAUUGCUUUUUUUUA
rnacentral:lncRNA from 1 species